rnacentral:rRNA from 1 species
GACGAACCGAGCGAACGUUAUUCGGAAUCACUGGGCUUAAAGGGCGCGUAGGCGGGCCAUCAAGUCAGGGGUGAAAGCCCCCAGCUCAACUGGGGAAGUGCCUUUGAUACUGGUGGUCUCGAGGGGGAUAGGGGCGUGCGGAACUUCCGGUGGAGCGGUGAAAUGCGUAGAUAUCGGGAGGAACACCAGUGGCGAAGGCGACUACCUGGCCUGUUCUUGACGCUGAGGCGCGAAAGCUAGGGGAGCAACGGG